CAAUUUCCAAAAUUGUUCAAUUUCCGUCAAAAUUCAUGCAUGAAAAAAUCCUAGUUCAAAAAUGUUCCAUACCACAAUUCAUACUUAAAUAAAAAUUACAAUCCCAAAUAAAAAUAAUACCAAAAUAAUUAAAGAAAUUUUAAUAAAAAUUUGAGUGCCAGAAAUUCCUUAAAGAGACCUCUGAAUGUCGAAUCCAAGUCCUAAGAAUUAUCUGUAAGGAGUAAACUAGGGGGUGAGCUUAAAAAGCUCAGUGUGAAUCCAUACAAUAUAGUAUUCAAUCAAUCAAACAAAGAUUCAUUUAUUACACAGUUCAACCAAUUUGUCAUGGCAUUACAACAUAUGAGUAUGGCAUGCUAAAUGUUUCAAUACAAUAAUCCUACCCAUUCAUCCGCUACACACCAGGAAUUCCCCAAACUUGUCAACUAAACUCCAAAACAGUAUGGGAUUAAGCCCGUUGUGGAUAAAACCACCAAAUCAGUAUGCAGAUAAAACUGGCAGUAAAAGUAAUUGCAAACAAGCUACCAGAAUAAAUGCGAUAAAUCGUCCAAUCACCUCAAAUCUUCAGUGUAGCGCACUGACAAUAGUAUGCAGACUUUAGAUGCCGCCUAGUUCUCCACAGAACUCCUCCGUUAACCUCAAAAACCCACCCCAUGCCAAUGCAAUUAUGACAUACCAUCAGUAAAGCACAUCAUGCUUAUCAGUAAAGUUUCGAUACAAUGGCAUGCUUAUCAUGCUUUUCAAUAAAUAAUAACAAUGUACAUCCAACAUACUUUCAAUAACCAAAAUUAGUGGCAUGUGUACAUACUUUCAAUAUGGUCAAAAAUAAAUAUAGCAUGUAACAUAAUUUCGUACAUAUCACAAUUUCAGUCAAGACAACAUACAUGCACAUGAACAAGGAUACACAAUCUAGCAUGCUAUAUUUGCAUUCAAUUCGCACAUUCGUCACCCAAACAGAACAUUUAACAAUCAACUUUUGAAAUAUUUGCAUACCUGAUUCAGCAUUCCACUUAUUAACAUUUAGGCCAUUUUGACCAAACCACGGUCACCAAGCAAACAAUAUUAUUUAAAUAUAUUAAUUUAAAUUUAAGUUAUUUAGUUUCAAGGAAGACCCACACCUGAUUAACGUGAAUAUGAAACCCUAACUUAACACCGCAACUCUUAAGAAUUAAAUCCAACUAAAUGUCAUUUAAACAUGUACAUUCCCAAGAAUAAAAUAACCCUAUAAGGUUCGACCACAAUAGGGAAAAUAAAGUGAGCAAUUAUAUCUGUAUUCGGGAUUCCUACUUACUUUGUUUCGGCUAACAAUAGUGAUACAAACAACUUCUAUUGCCAUUGUUGAUUCGAAAUGUUCAGAUUUGUCCUUUUAACGAGAAUAAUUUACAAAAUCAUUAUAAGAAGAUCGGUUAAAGUAUUAAACACAAUCUAUCAAAAUAGAAAAAUGAAAGAAGGGAAACAACGUUUGAUCUUGCUAGAAUCGGCACUUACGCUUUACCUGUUUUGGCUUUGUAAUGAAUGAUAGACAAAUAAUGAUCCGAGCAAUCAUCACGGGGACCAAGGAGGUUCAACCAAGGGUAAGCAAACGUAAAAACCAGUAGCGAAAUCGAAAGAGAAAAUCGAUGGAAAGGAGGCUUAGAGGGGCGAAAAAUGCAAGGGAAAAUAUGGCUGCUUCCAACUCAAUGUGCGACAAAAGGUGGAGAAAAGAAAAUAAGCAAUAGACAUCAAUUUGAUGAUAUUCAUAGCAACAAAAUUAGAUCAAGAAAAGAGAAAAUAAUGGUGAAAAAUGGCAGCCAUGAUAACUAAAGGAAAACAAACAAGAAGGAAGCUAGACUUGGGUGGCAAUAAUGGAGGAGGAAAAAAGAAAGAAAAAAAAGUAGAAAAUAAAGAGGGAAGAGAAGAG
rnacentral:lncRNA from 1 species